GCCAGACUCCUACGGGAGGCAGCAGUGGGGAAUAUUGCACAAUGGGGGAAACCCUGAUGCAGCGACGCCGCGUGAGUGAAGAAGUAUUUCGGUAUGUAAAGCUCUAUCAGCAGGGAAGAAAAUGACGGUACCUGAGUAAGAAGCCCCGGCUAACUACGUGCCAGCAGCCGCGGUAAUACGUAGGGGGCAAGCGUUAUCCGGAUUUACUGGGUGUAAAGGGAGCGUAGACGGCGAUACAAGUCUGAAGUGAAAGCCCGGGGCUCAACCCCGGGACUGCUUUGGAAACUGUGUUGCUGGAGUGCUGGAGAGGCAAGCGGAAUUUCUAGUGUAGCGGUGAAAUGCGUAGAUAUUAGGAGGAACACCAGUGGCGAAGGCGGCUUACUGGACUGUAACUGACGUUGAGGCUCGAAAGCGUGGGGAGCAAACAGGAUUAGAUACCCGUGUA
rnacentral:rRNA from 1 species